UUAAGUAAGUAAGGGCGUACGGCGGAUGCCUUGGCCAUAUCAGCCGAAGAAGGACGCGAUAAGCUGCGAUAAGCUGCGGUGAGGUGCAAGUAACCAGUGACCCGCAGAUUUCCGAAUGGGGAAACCCGGCAGUAGUAGUACUGUCACCUCUCGUAUGAGAGGAGGGCACCCGGUGAACUGAAACAUCUAAGUAGCCGGAGGAAGAGGAAUCAAAAGAGAUGCCCCCAGUAGCGGCGAGCGAAGCGGGCAAAGCCCAAACCGGAGCGGGAAACCGCACCGGGGUUGAGGACUACCAACAAGUACCUAGAUGAAGUCGAAUCAGGUGGGAACCUGAGCCAGAGACGGUGAGAGCCCGGUAGACGUAAAGAAGGGUAUGGGGUAGUAUCCAGAGUACCACGGGGCACGAGGAACCUUGUGGGAAGCAGGGGGGACCACCCUCCAAGGCGAAAUACUGAUAUGGACCGAUAGCGCAUAGUACCGUGAGGGAAAGGUGAAAAGAACCCCGGGAGGGGAAUGAAAGAGAACCUGAAACCGUAUGUCUACAAGCAGUCGAAGCACCGUAUGCGUGCGACGGCGUGCCUAUUGAAGAAUGAACCGGCGAGUUAUUUCAUCCGGCGAGGUUAAGCGGAAAACGCGGAGCCGAAGCGAAAGCGAGUCUGAACAGGGCGAUAAGUCGGAUGGAAUAGACCCGAAACCACAGUGAUCUAUCCAUGCCCAGGUUGAAGCACAGGUAAAAAUGUGUGGAGGACCGAACCAGUGAGCGUUGAAAAGCUUUUGGAUGAGGUGUGGAUAGGGGUGAAAUGCCAAUCGAACGUGGAGAUAGCUGGUUCUCCCCGAAAUAGCUUUAGGGCUAGCCUCAGGCGAAUCACCAUAGAGACGGUAGAGCACUGAUCGGGCAAGGGGGCGUAAAGCCUACCGACCCCAGUCAAACUGCGAAUGGCUGCAUGUCAAACUCGGGAGUCAGCGUGCGAGUGAUAAGACCCGUACGCAAGAGGGAAACAGCCCAGACCGCCGGCUAAGGUCCCAAAUGCUGUGCUAAGUGGAAAAGGAUGUAGGACUUCGAAAACAACCAGGAUGUUGGCUCAGAAGCAGCCACCAUUAAAAGAGUGCGUAAUAGCUCACUGGUCGAGAGGCCCUGCGCCGAAAAUAUCCGGGGCUAAAGCACAGAACCGAAGCCGCGGCAGGGUGUACUAAGGUACACACUGGGUAGGGGAGCGUUCCUGUUUGGACGAAGGCAGACCGGAAGGACUGCUGGACGAACAGGAAGUGAGAAUGCCGGUAUGAGUAGCGAAACGACAGGUGAGAAUCCUGUCCACCGAAAGCCUAAGGGAUCCUGGGCAACGCUCGUCGCCCCAGGGUAAGUCGGGACCUAAGCCGAGGCGAAAAGCAUAGGCGAUGGACAACUGGCGAAAAUUCCAGUACCGGGCGUCUUCGUUUGAGGAUGGAGUGACGCAGGAAGGAAGCUGAGCGCGCGAAUGGUUGGGCGCGUCGAAGGCGGUAGGCUGAUAUGGAGGCAAAUCCCCGUAUCAUAAGGCCGAGAACCGAUAGAUAGGAAAGACUACGGUCAAUCUGAAUUCAGCUGCACUACACUGCCAAGAAAAGCUUCUAACGAGAAGACGUCCGCCCGUACCAAAACCGACACAGGUAGGCGGGGAGAGAAUCCUAAGGUGCGCGGGAAAACCCUCGUUAAGGAACUCGGCAAAAUGUAUCCGUAACUUCGGGAAAAGGAUAACCCAGAGUACGUGAAGGAAAGAAACAUCCGGAGCGGGAAUGGGUGGCACAAGAGAGGCCCAAGCGACUGUUUACCACAAACACAGGCGUCUGCUAAAGAGAAAUCUGAUGUAUAGAUGCUGACACCUGCCCGGUGCUGGAAGGUUAAGAGGACGUGUUAGCCGCAAGGCGAAGCAGAGAAUUGAAGCCCCAGUAAACGGCGGCCGUAACUAUAACGGUCCUAAGGUAGCGAAAUUCCUUGUCGGGUAAGUUCCGACCCGCACGAAAGGCGUAACGAUUUGGGCACUGUCUCAACGAGGGACCCGGUGAAAUUGAAAUACCUGUGAAGAUGCAGGUUACCCGCGACUGGACAGAAAGACCCCAUGGAGCUUUACUGCAACCUAAGAUUGAACUUAGUUAAUGAAUGUACAGGAUAGGUGGGAGACGUAGAACCUAGGACGCUAGUUUUAGGGGAGUCGCUGUUGGGAUACCACCCUUUCAUUAAUUGAUUUCUAACGGGCCGAGUAACGACCGGCCGGACAGUCUUAGGCGGGCAGUUUGACUGGGGCGGUCGCCUCCAAAAGAGUAACGGAGGCGCCCAAAGGUUCCCUCAGAGCGGACGGAAAUCGCUCGAAGAGUGUAAAGGCAGAAGGGAGCUUGACUGCGAGACGGACAGGUCGAGCAGGGACGAAAGUCGGGCUUAGUGAUCCGGUGGUAGAGAGUGGAAUUGCCAUCGCUCAACGGAUAAAAGCUACCCUGGGGAUAACAGGCUAAUCUCUCCCAAGAGUCCAUAUCGACGGGGAGGUUUGGCACCUCGAUGUCGGCUCAUCACAUCCUGGGGCUGUAGUAGGUCCCAAGGGUUGGGCUGUUCGCCCAUUAAAGUGGUACGCGAGCUGGGUUCAGAACGUCGUGAGACAGUUCGGUCCCUAUCCAUCGCGGGCGCAAGAAACUUGAAGGGGGCUGCUCCUAGUACGAGAGGACCGGAGUGGACGAACCGCUGGUGUACCAAUUAUCCUGCCAAGGGUACAGUUGGGUAGCUACGUUCGGGACGGAUAAACGCUGAAAGCAUCUAAGCGUGAAACCAGCCUUGAGAUGAGGUUUCUCAUAGCAUAAGCUAGUAAGAUCCCAUGUAGACGACAUGGUAGAUAGGCCAGGUGUGGAAGAGCCGUGAGGUUUGGAGCUGACUGGUACUAAUCGAUCGAGGGCUUUACUUA
rnacentral:rRNA from 1 species